ensembl:lncRNA
GACAGACAGACAGACAGACAGACAGACAGACAGACAGACAGACAGACAGACAGACAGACAGACAGACAGACAGACAGACAGACAGACAGACAGACAGACUACACAGAUAGACACACACUACACAGAUAAACACACACUACACAGACAGACACACUACACAGACACACACACACUACACAGACACACACACACUACACAGACACACACACACUACACAGACACACACUAAACAGGCAGACACACACUCUCGUGAAUAGACCUACUCUCUCAUAUGCUGUGAUUAAUCAACUUUUUGUUGCAGUUUGAUUCAGCUAGACAGAGUGCAUCAAAUGACCGCUUUUGAUGCACUCUGACCGCUUUAAGUUUUUCUUGGUUGUUUGUGAGUUGGAUGGGGAAGGGGCCGAUAUUUCCUGGUUUGUUUUCUUGCAGUGCCUCUUGACUAAGCACAAUGCUCCAUCAAACCUUUCUGAAACAAUGCAUUCAGACGGGUAACUGUCCUUACUGAAACAAUGCAUUCAGACGGGUAACUGUCCUUUCUGAAACAAUGCAUUCAGAUGGGUAACUGUCCUUACUGAAACAAUUCAUUCAGGCGGGUAACUGUCCUUACUGAAACAAUUCAUUCAGGCGGGUAACUGUCCUUACUGAAACAAUUCAUUCAGACGGGUAACUGUCCUUACUAAAACAAUGCAUUCAGACGGGUAACUGUCCUUACUGAAACAAUUCAUUCAGACGGGUAACUGUCCUUACUGAAACAAUGCAUUCAGACGGGUAACUGUCCUUACUGAAACAAUUCAUUCAGACGGGUAACUGUCCUUACUGAAACAAUGCAUUCAGACGGGUAACUCUACUUAACUAAUAGUUCUUAUUCAAAUGAUCAGUUCUGCAGCCAUCAUUCCUCUUCUUCACCAACUUCAUCAUUGCCGACAAUGUGAAUCAGAAUUUCUGUCUGGUACUUUUUGCAUUCCCUGUUUAAUCAUGCCAGUUAUCACUAAGUGAUCAUUUAAAACGUCUUAUGUGCAUUAAUCUUGAGGUUCUUGUGUUUUUGUUUUACUUUUUUUGUCUAUAUUUUAUUUUUCAAAUUGCUGUUGUUGUUUAAAUAAAGUGCAU